AUUGAACGCUGGCGGCAGGCCUAACACAUGCAAGUCGAGCGGAUGAGAGGAGCUUGCUUCUCGAUUCAGCGGCGGACGGGUGAGUAAUGCCUAGGAAUCUGCCUGGUAGUGGGGGACAACGUUUCGAAAGGAACGCUAAUACCGCAUACGUCCUACGGGAGAAAGCAGGGGACCUUCGGGCCUUGCGCUAUCAGAUGAGCCUAGGUCGGAUUAGCUAGUUGGUGAGGUAAUGACUCACCAAGGCGACGAUCCGUAACUGGUCUGAGAGGAUGAUCAGUCACACUGGAACUGAGACAGGGUCCAAACUCCUACGGGAGGCAGCAGUGGGGAAUAUUGGACAAUGGGCGAAAGCCUGAUUCAGCCAUGCCGCGUGUGUGAAGAAGGUCUUCGGAUUGUAAAGCACUUUAAGUUGGGAGGAAGGGUUGUAGAUUAAUACUCUGCAAUUUUGACGUUACCGACAGAAUAAGCACCGGCUAACUCUGUGCCAGCCGCCGCGGUAAAAC
rnacentral:rRNA from 1 species